rnacentral:lncRNA from 1 species
AGGGGGGAGAAGGUCAGAGGGGUGAGUGGGUGGGGGAGUUCAGGGUAGAAAAACCCAAAGUGCUUUUCCUACUGUCACAACCACUCAGCACUACUCUUCUGACACCAGAUAGGCCAGAUUGUUUCCCCAGGUGCCAAAUGAUUCUCCUGCUGGUGUCCUCUAAUCAGACAAAGCUGACACUGUCUACCUGGAGAUAGUCCAUUCCACAGGUUGAGGGCUCAGUCCCGCAAGACUACCCCCACUUCAGAUGCCAAUCACAAGCCCCAGGUUGUGACCUGUAUUCCUGUUCAACUGGCUAUAAAUUGAGGUUCAUAUGACCUCGGCCUAUCCCAAUUCAAUUAAUUCGUGAGUAUGGCUCUCAGAAUCCAGGGAAACAUUUCAUUUCCGCUUACCGUGUAUUAUAUAUUAUAAUGGAUAUUUGUAAGGAUUUGGAUGAAGGGCAGAUGGAAGAGCUGUGUCUGGCCAAGCAUGUGGGCACACUACUCAUGUGGCCAGCAAUCCAGAAGCUUCCGGAACCUGGUCCUUUUGGCUCUCUAUGGAGGCUUCAUUAUGUAGGCGUAAUGGUGAUCAACUUGACCUUCAGCCAUUCUCCCCUCCUGAGGCUGGGAUGUGGCAGAAAUCCCCAACCUUCUAAUAGCGUCUUGGUUUUUCUGGGAUCAGGGCCCAUCCUGAACUAUCUAGUGACCUACCGCCUGUCAUCUCUUUAGCAGACAGAGACCUUAUUAUCACUUGGGAGGCUCUACAGUUUCAGGAGGUAAGUGCUGGAGCCAGGGGAGGAGACAAGAUGUAGAAGUCUCUUAUGACAUUGUGGUGUCACAGCAGGGCUCCUGGGAGUUGUGCAUUUGGGAGCGAGGGGCUUGGUGCUCAGAGCAGGAUUAUUUAGCAGUGACAAAGCAUGACAUCCUCAAAGUGGUUCUGAGUGUUCUGGAAAGGUGUGUGUGUGUGUGUGUGU